rnacentral:rRNA from 1 species
GACGAACGCUGGCGGCGUGCUUAACACAUGCAAGUCGAGCGGUAAGGCCCUUUCGGGGGUACACGAGCGGCGAACGGGUGAGUAACACGUGGGUGACCUGCCCUCAGCUCUGGGAUAAGCCUGGGAAACUGGGUCUAAUACUGGAUAUGACUCCACGGUGCAUGUCGGUGGGGUGGAAAGCCUUGUGCGGCUGAGGAUGGGCCCGCGGCCUAUCAGCUUGUUGGUGGGGUGANGGCCUACCAAGGCGACGACGGGUAGCCGGCCUGAGAGGGCGACCGGCCACACUGGGACUGAGACACGGCCCAGACUCCGUACGGGAGGCAGCAGUGGGGAAUCUUGCGCAAUGGGACGAAAGCCUGACGCAGCGACGCCGCGU